AAAGAUAAUCAUAUAUACUUAGUUUUAUAUAUAUAUCGUAAUUCAUAAUAUAAUUAGCACAGUCUUAACGAUGGAUGUCUUGGUUCCUACAGCGAUGNNUUACCAAAUUUUCAUCAACAAUAUUGAAUUUUCAAUAUUUUGCAUAUAAUAUGUAUUUUUAUUGUUUAUAAUUAUUAUUUGUAGUUAAUUAUGUUUUGAAGAAAAGAUAAUCAUAUAUACUUAGUUUUAUAUAUAUAUCGUAAUUCAUAAUAUAAUUAGCACAGUCUUAACGAUGGAUGUCUUGGUUCCUACAGCGAUGAAGGCCGCAGCAAAAUGCGAUACGCAAUGAAAAUUGCNNNUAUAUAUAUCGUAAUUCAUAAUAUAAU
rnacentral:rRNA from 1 species